rnacentral:miRNA from 1 species
AAUAGAAGGUUGUGAUUGAAUGAU